UCCAGGGCACCAAUCUGCGCGCUCGAUGUAGUAGACAUGUGAAAAUGACAAAGCCAUAGUAUCAUGCAUGUCACGGGUGAUAAAACGGCCAUGAUGGUUUCCUGGCCGAACCGAUCAUGUGGUUGUGAUCAAUUCUCAUCUAAAAGCUUAUCGAACGACCAUGAUGGUUUCCUGACCAAACUGAUCAAAUAGCUAAGAUUGUUUCUCAUAUGGAUUAUGAAUAAAUGAUUAGAUUUGCCUCCCGUCUAAAAAAAUGGAUGACCUAGAUUAAAGAUCUCAUUAACAACUUAGAUUGUCUUAUCUAGAUCUAAUGGUCAUGAUUUAAAGAGGUGUAAAAAAACCUAAAAAUUCUUAAAAAACACUAGAUCUAAUGACCAUGAUUUAAGGAGUCAUGAUCUGAUGAUCAAGAACUAUUUCCUCAAGUGAAAAGACUAAAAUACUCCCCCAUCAAACAACAGUCCAGAUCUUUUAUGAAAAACCUA
rnacentral:lncRNA from 1 species